GAAGUGAAGCCUUGGAGCUGUUGAUGGCCGGAAGCCUGUAACUAUACCAACACGAGGUCUCAAAAAGAACUAUGCAAGCUUCCACGGCAGUUGCAGACCCCCCAAGAUCUCCUGGUCGUUCCUUGAGCCCGAUUAAAAGCAAGUCCGUGACUAUCAUCAGAUAGAUCAUCAAGGAUCGCAUGGACUUUGCUUGAGACCAGAUAAUUGAGACCCGGAUUACAGAGAGACGUUACCAAUGACUUCUGGAGUUUAUUACCAACAUCGUCAAGAUUACCCAUUUAUUUAUUAGUGGAGUUCAACCUGCAGACGGGCCGGCCAGUUUGCAUGUCCUUCACGCUUGAAGGUCACGGGGAUCAUUUCGUAAAAUUGUCAUGCGGUGGUGUAGAGGUUGGACCCAUCCCCAGCAACGUCAACCUGCAGAAGGAAAAAACAUUUUCCUUCACUUUCGAAGGUCACGGAGAUCAUUACGUAAAAUGUGUCAUGUGGUGUAGAGGUUGGGUGAGAACGGGACGUGUCGCAUCAUUAUCAGACAGAUACAAUAGCCGCAAGGCUUAAGAGGUGAAGAGAUGAAAAAAAAAUCGUAUAAAAGGAGAGAAAAAAACAAAAAAGGCGGUGGAAAAUCAGUCGAGUGAGGAUCUCCGACACGGCAACAACUGCAGUGCAAUAUUUGUCACCAACUGUCUCCUACAUCGUAAAACCAAUUCGCAAUCAUGGAUAAGCGUGGUGUCGUGCUGCUGUUGGGUGUUGUUUCGUUGAUGGCUGGGUUGACCACUGGUGUACUGAUAUCUCCUGGGUAUGGUGAAUACCUAACCACAACGCCGCCGCCUCCCACAUAACAAAAUACGCAACAACCGGCACUAUACCACCAAGGCUCCAGAAAAUUCCCAUCAACUUAUAUAGUGCCCCGAGCCACUACACCGAAUUUCUGAAGUAUAAGUCUGCCUCGAGUUACACCACCAAAGAGCUAGAGUACAACAUCGAGGCUCCCAAGUAUUACACAACUAAGGCACCGGAAUACUACACGACUACAUAUGCUGCCCCUGCUUACUACACCAAGGCCCCUAAUUACUACACUACAACCUACGCUGCCCUAAGCUACUAAACCAACACCCCGAAGUAUUAUUCCUAAUUACUACAAUACCGAAGCACCGAAGUAUUAUUCUGCGUCGAAGGGGUCGUUAAAAAAAAGGAAGUUGUGUAAAAGGGAGAGAAAAGGUGGUACUACGCCGACGCCCCCAAGUACUACACCACUAAGGCAUCGGAGUAUGCUACCAUAACUUACGCUUCGCCCAGCUACUACACCGAUGCCCCGAAUUAUUACUUUGCCUCGAGCUACACCACCAACACAGCGGAGUACUACACAACUACGUAUGCUGCCCUAUCUGACUACACUGAGGCUCCCUAGCUACUACACCGAGGCUCCAGCUACUACACCGAGG